AGAGUUUGAUCCUGGCUCAGGAUGAACGCUGGCGGUAUGCCUAACACAUGCAAGUCGUACGAGAGUUUUUAACUCAAGUGGCGGACGGGUGAGUAACACGUGAGAAUUUACCUUUAGGAGGGGGAUAACAAUUGGAAACGAUUGCUAAUACCCCAUAUGCUUGAGAGUGAAAUGGAUUUAUCUGCCUAAAGAAAAGCUCGCGGCUGAUUAGCUAGUUGGUAAGGUAAUGGCUUACCAAGGCGACGAUCAGUAUCUGGUUUGAGAGGACGAUCAGACACACUGGAACUGAGACACGGUCCAGACUCCUACGGGAGGCAGCAGUGGGGAAUUUUCCGCAAUGGGCGAAAGCCUGACGGAGCAAUACCGCGUGAGGGAAGACUGCCUAUGGGUUGUAAACCUCUUUUUUCAGGUACACGUAUCUGACGGUACCUGAGGAAUAAGUAUCGGCUAACUCCGUGCCAGCAGCCGCGGUAAUACGGAGGAUGCAAGCGUUAUCCGGAAUCAUUGGGCGUAAAGCGUCCGCAGGUGGUUUCCAAAGUCUGCUGUUAAAGACUGGAGCUCAACUCCGGAACGGCGGUGGAAACUUGGAAACUAGAGUUCGGUAGGGGUAGCAGGAAUUCCCAGUGUAGCGGUGAAAUGCGUAGAUAUUGGGAAGAACAUCGGUGGCGAAGGCGUGCUACUGGACCGCAACUGACACUCAGGGACGAAAGCUAGGGUAGCGAAAGGGAUUAGAUACCCCUGUAGUCCUAGCCGUAAACGAUGGAAACUAGGUGUGGCUUGUAUCGACCCGAGCCGUGCCGAAGCUAACGCAUUAAGUAUCCCGCCUGGGGAGUACGCACGCAAGUGUGAAACUCAAAGGAAUUGACGGGGGCCCGCACAAGCGGUGGAGUAUGUGGUUUAAUUCGAUGCAACGCGAAGAACCUUACCAAGACUUGACAUCCCGCGAAUCUUGCAGAGAUGCGAGAGUGCCUUCGGGAGCGCGAACACAGGUGGUGCAUGGCUGUCGUCAGCUCGUGUCGUGAGAUGUUGGGUUAAGUCCCGCAACGAGCGCAACCCUCAUUCUUAGUUGCCAGCAUUAAGGUGGGCACUUUAGGAAGACUGCCGGUGACAAACCGGAGGAAGGUGAGGAUGACGUCAAGUCAGCAUGCCCCUUACGCCCUGGGCUACACACGUACUACAAUGGUUGGGACAAAGGGCAGCGACUCCGCGAGGAAUAGCGAAUCUCAUCAAACCCAGCCUCAGUUCAGAUUGCAGGCUGCAACUCGCCUGCAUGAAGGAGGAAUCGCUAGUAAUCGCAGGUCAGCAUACUGCGGUGAAUUCGUUCCCGGGCCUUGUACACACCGCCCGUCACACCAUGGAAGCUGGUCACGCCCGAAGUAGUUACCCUAACCUUUCGAGGAGGGGGAUUCCUAAGGCAGGGCUAGUGACUGGGGUGAAGUCGUAACAAGGUAACC
rnacentral:rRNA from 1 species